rnacentral:rRNA from 1 species
CAAUAGCGUAUAUUUAAGUUGUUGCAGUUAAAAAGCUCGUAGUUGGAUUUCGGUUAAGAGCGACCGGUCCGCCGUUUGGUGUGCACUGGUUGGUUUUAACUUCCUGUAGAGGACGUGCUCUGGGUUUAACGACCUGGACUCGGAGUCUACGUGGUUACUUUGAAAAAAUUAGAGUGUUCAAAGCGGGCUUACACUUGAAUAUUUCAGCAUGGAAUAACACUAUAGGACUCCUGUCCUAUUUCGUUGGUCUCGGGACGGGAGUAAUGAUUAAGAGGAACAGUUGGGGGCAUUCGUAUUUCAUUGUCAGAGGUGAAAUUCUUGGAUUUAUGAAAGACGAACUUCUGCGAAAGCAUUUGCCAAGGAUGUUUUCAUUAA